AUUGAACGCUGGCGGCAGGCCUAACACAUGCAAGUCGAACGAGUGGCGGACGGGUGAGUAAUGUCUGGGAAACUGCCUGAUGGAGGGGGAUAACUACUGGAAACGGUAGCUAAUACCGCAUACCAUCAGAUGUGCCCAGAUGGGAUUCGCUUGUUGGUGGGGUAACGGCUCACCAAGGCGACGAUCCCUAGCUGGUCUGAGAGGAUGACCAGCGACACUGGACCUGAGACACGGCCCAGACUCCUACGGGAGGCAGCAGGGGGGAAUAUUGCACAAUGGGCGCAAACCUGAGGCAGCCAUGCCGCGUGUGUGAAGAGGGCCUUCGGGUUGUAAAGUACUUUCAGCGGGGAGGCUUUACCCGCAGAAGAAGCACCGGCUGACUCCGUGCCAGCAGCCGCGGUAAUUC
rnacentral:rRNA from 1 species